GACGAACGCUGGCGGCGUGCUUAACACAUGCAAGUCGAACGGAGUGGCGAACGGGUGAGUAACACGUGGGUGACCUGCCCUGCACUUCGGGAUAAGCCUGGGAAACUGGGUCUAAUACCGGAUAGUGUGGGAUGGGCCCGCGGCCUCUCAGCUUGUUGGUGGGGUAAUGGCCUACCAAGGCGGCGCCGGGUGGCCGGCCUGAGAGGGUGGACGGCCACAUUGGGACGGAGGAAGGGGCCAGACUCCGACGGGAGGCAGCAGGGGGGAAUAGUGCACAAUGGGCGGAGGCCUGAUGCAGCGACGCCGGGUGGGGGAUGACGGCCUUCGGGUUGUAAACUCCUUUCACCAUCGACGCGGUAGAUGGAGAAGAAGCACCGGCUAACUACGUGCCAGCCGCCGCGGUAAUAC
rnacentral:rRNA from 1 species